GCUCAUGGGAUCGCUCAGCUGGUAGAGCACGAGACUCUCAAGAUCAUGGGUUCAAGUCCCACAUUGGGCA